GACGAACGCUGGCGGCGUGCCUAAUACAUGCAAGUCGAACGCUUCUUUCCUCCCGAGUGCUUGCACUCAAUUGGAAAGAGGAGUGGCGGACGGGUGAGUAACACGUGGGUAACCUACCCAUCAGAGGGGGAUAACACUUGGAAACAGGUGCUAAUACCGCAUAACAGUUUAUGCCGCAUGGCAUAAGAGUGAAAGGCGCUUUCGGGUGUCGUUGAUGGAUGGACCCGCGGUGCAUUAGCUAGUUGGUGAGGUAACGGCUCACCAAGGCCACGAUGCAUAGCCGACCUGAGAGGGUGAUCGGCCACACUGGGACUGAGACACGGCCCAGACUCCUACGGGAGGCAGCAGUAGGGAAUCUUCGGCAAUGGACGAAAGUCUGACCGAGCAACGCCGCGUGAGUGAAGAAGGUUUUCGGAUCGUAAAACUCUGUUGUUAGAGAAGAACAGGGACGUUAGUAACUGAACGUCCCCUGACGGUAUCUAACCAGAAAGCCACGGCUAACUACGUG
rnacentral:rRNA from 1 species